rnacentral:rRNA from 1 species
GACUACCGGGGUAUCUAAUCCCGUUCGCUCCCCUGGCUUUCGUGCCUCAGCGUCAGAAACGGACCAGCAGGCCGCCUUCGCCACGAGUGUUCUUCCUGAUAUCUACGCAUUCCACCGCUACACCAGGAAUUCCACCUGCCUCUUCCGCUCUCGAGCUCGGUAGUUUCCAAUGCGGAUCCAUAGUUGAGCUAUGGGCUUUCACAUCAGACUGGCCGAACCGCCUACGCACCCUUUACGCCCAGUAAUUCCGAACAACGUUUGCCCCCUCCGUAUUACCGCGGCUGCUGGCACGGAGUUAGCCGGGGCUUCCUCUGCAGGUACCGUCCCUCCCGAAUUCGCCAUUCGGGCAUUCUUUCCUGCUGACAGCGGUUUACAACCUCACGGCCUUCAUCCCGCACGCGGCGUCGCUCCAUCAGACUUUCGUCCAUUGUGGAAGCCUCUCGACUGCAGCCCCCCGUAGG